CUACCUUUUAAGGAAUAUCUGAUUUUUAUAAAGGCGGCAACUGUAAAAGGCUGGGGUCCUUCUACGUCAGUCCGUCACUGGACACUGUCAGCCCCACCGUCCGGGGGUCCUACAAAGGCAUUCGUAAAAGGGAUCGGUCCAACUGGUUUAGAAGUUACGUGGUCUCCACCGGAAGUAGAGAAAAGGAACGGAAUCAUCGUAGCCUAUCGUUUGUGUUCAAAGGAGAUCAGCGAUACCAAGCCAUGUCAUAAUACUGUUGUUGUCGGUGGGAGCAAGGGGCUGUUACUUAUAGCUGGGUUGAAACCUUAUAGAUGGUACACUGUAAGCGUGGAGGCAAGCACCACUGGGGGAUACGGUCCCCCCACCAGGGUUCGUCAUAGAACAGGGGAGUGGGUUCCAUCGGGUACUCCAAGCGAAAUUUCAGUUACAGCUUUCAACUAUACUUCUAUAACUGUUUCAUGGAAAAGCCCUGACGAAAGCGAGACGAACGGUGUACUAACA